GACGAACCGUGCGAACGUUAUUCGGAAUCACUGGGCUUAAAGCGCGUGUAGGCGGCCCGGCGCGUCGGAUGCUGAAAUCCCCGGCUCAACCGGGGAAGGGGCGCCGAUACGGCCGGGCUGGAGGGGGGUAGGGGGCGCUGGAACUCACGGUGGAGCGGUGAAAUGCGUUGAGAUCGUGAGGAACGCCCGCGGCGAAAGCGAGCGCCUGGACCCUUUCUGACGCUGAGACGCGAAAGCCAGGGGAGCGAACGGG
rnacentral:rRNA from 1 species